GAUGAACGCUGGCGGCGUGCCUAAUACAUGCAAGUCGAGCGAACGGACGAGAAGCUUGCUUCUCUGCUGUUAGCGGCGGACGGGUGAGUAACACGUGGAUAACCUACCUAUAAGACUGGGAUAACUUCGGGAAACCGGAGCUAAUACCGGAUAAUAUUUUGAACCGCAUGGUUCAAAAGUGAAAGACGGUCUUGCUGUCACUUAUAGAUGGAUCCGCGCUGCAUUAGCUAGUUGGUAAGGUAACGGCUUACCAAGGCAACGAUGCAUAGCCGACCUGAGAGGAUGAUCGGCCACACUGGAACUGAGACACGGUCCAGACUCCUACGGGAGGCAGCAGUAGGGAAUCUUCCACAAUGGGCGAAAGCCUGACGGAGCAACGCCGCGUGAGUGAUGAAGGUCUUCGGAUCGUAAAACUCUGUUAUUAGGGAAGAACAUAUGUAUAAGUAACUGUGCACAUCUUGACGGUACCUAAUCAGAAAGCCACGGCUAACUACGUG
rnacentral:rRNA from 1 species